GCUCUAGUGGCCUAGUGAUUAGAGCUUCCGCCUAGGAUGCGGGCGGACGUGGAUUCGAUCCCCGGCCGAGUCA